rnacentral:rRNA from 1 species
UACGAAGGGGGCUAGCGUUGCUCGGAAUCACUGGGCGUAAAGGGUGCGUAGGCGGGUUUUAAGUCAGAGGUGAAAUCCUGGAGCUCAACUCCAGAACUGCCUUUGAUACUGAAAGUCUUGAGUAUGGGAGAGGUGAGUGGAACUGCGAGUGUAGAGGUGAAAAUUCGUAGAUAUUCGCAAGAACACCAGUGGCGAAGGCGGCUCACUGGCCCAUAACUGACGCUGAGGCACGAAAGCGUGGGGAGCAACAGGG